CUACGGGUGGCUGCAGUGAGGAAUAUUGCACAAUGGGGGGAACCCUGAUGCAGCAACGCCGCGUGGAGGAUGACGCAUUUCGGUGUGUAAACUCCUUUUAUAUGUCAAGAAAAUGACGGUAGCAUAUGAAUACGCACCGGCUAACUCCGUGCUAGCAGCCGCGGUAAUACGGAGGGUGCAAGCGUUACUCGGAAUCACUGGGCGUAAAGGACGCGUAGGCGGGUUGGAAAGUCAGGUGUGAAAUCCUACAGCUUAACUGUAGAACUGCACUUGAAACUUCUAAUCUAGAGUAUGGGAGGGGGAGAUGGAAUUAGUGGUGUAGGGGUAAAAUCCGUAGAUAUCACUAGGAAUACCUAAAGCGAAGGCGAUCUCCUGGAACAUUACUGACGCUAAGGCGUGAAAGCGUGGGGAGCAAACAGGAUUAGAUACCCCGGUAGUC
rnacentral:rRNA from 1 species